rnacentral:snRNA from 1 species
GCUCACUCUGGCAGCACAUAUACUAAAACUAAAACGACAGAGAAGAUUAGCAUGGCCCCUGUGCAAGGAUGACACACAAAUUCUUGAAGGGCUCCAUAUUUAA